AAUACAUUUACGCUGAAUCCCGCAUUGCGGGUACGGAGGAACCAGUUUUGGGGUUAAUCGGCAUUAAUAUUUAAGCUUGUAUUAAUGCAGUAGGGAACCUUUCAUCCCGAACCCGUCAGCUAACUUCGGAAGCAAAUAGAAAGGGGAAAC
rnacentral:sRNA from 1 species